GUAAGGAAUAUUGGACAAUGGACGCAAGUCUGAUCCAGCCAUGCCGCGUGAAGGAUUAAGGUCCUCUGGAUUGUAAACUUCUUUUAUAAGGGACGAAAAAAGGCUUUUCUAAGUCGUCUGACGGUACCUUAUGAAUAAGCACCGGCUAACUCCGUGCCAGCAGCCGCGGUAAUACGGAGGGUGCAAGCGUUAUCCGGAUUCACUGGGUUUAAAGGGUGCGUAGGCGGGCAGGUAAGUCAGUGGUGAAAUCCUAGAGCUUAACUCUAGAACUGCCAUUGAUACUAUCUGGCUUGAAUAUUGUGGAGGUAAGCGGAAUAUGUCAUGUAGCGGUGAAAUGCUUAGAUAUGACAUAGAACACCUAUUGCGAAGGCAGCUUACUACGCAUAUAUUGACGCUGAGGCACGAAAGCGUGGGGAUCAAACAGGAUUAGAAACCCCUGUAGUCC
rnacentral:rRNA from 1 species